AUUGAACGCUGGCGGCAGGCUUAACACAUGCAAGUCGAGCGAGCGGCGGACGGGUGAGUAAUGUCUGGGAAACUGCCUGAUGGAGGGGGAUAACUACUGGAAACGGUAGCUAAUACCGCAUACCCUCAGAUGUGCCCAGAUGGGAUUAGCUAGUAGGUGGGGUAAUGGCUCACCUCGGCGACGAUCCCUAGCUGGUCUUGGAGGAUGACCAGCCACACUGGAAUGGAGAAACGGUCCAGACUCCUACGGGGGGCAGCAGUGGGGAAUAUUGCACAAUGGGCGCAAGCCUGAUGCAGCCAUGCCGCGUGUGGGAAGAAGGCCGUCGGGUUGGAAAGCACUUUCAGCGAGGAGGCGUUACUCGCAGAAGAAGCACCGGCUAACUCCGUGCCAGCAGCCGCGGUAAUAC
rnacentral:rRNA from 1 species